GACGAACGCUGGCGGCGUGCUUAACACAUGCAAGUCGAACGAGGUCCCACCAGUGGCAACACUGGGAAAGGCCUAGUGGCGAACGGGUGAGUAACACGUGAGCAACCUGCCCCGAAGACUGGGAUAACAGCGGGAAACCGCUGCUAAUACCGGAUAUCCCCAUUUGAUCGCAUGGUCGAGUGAGGAAAUGCUGGCUCAUUAGAGUCAUACGCUUCGGGAGGGGCUCGCGGUCUAUCAGCUUGUUGGUGGGGUGAAGGCCCACCAAGGCGACGACGGA
rnacentral:rRNA from 1 species